GACGAACGCUGGCGGCGUGCUUAACACAUGCAAGUCGAGCGAGGUACAGCAAUGUACCUAGCGGCGGACGGGUGAGUAACACGUGGGUAACCUGCCCUAAACAGGGGGAUAGCCACUCGAAAGGGUGAUUAAUACCGCAUAAAAAGUACCUAUCGCAUGGCAGGAACUUUAAAGGAGCAAUCCGGUAUAGGAGGGACCCGCGGCCCAUUAGCUAGUUGGUGAGGUAACGGCUCACCAAGGCGACGAUGGGUAGCCGAUCUGAGAGGAUGACCGGCCACAUUGGAACUGAGAAACGGUCCAGACUCCUACGGGAGGCAGCAGUGGGGAAUAUUGCGCAAUGGACGAAAGUCUGACGCAGCAACGCCGCGUGAGUGAAGAAGGCCUUCGGGUCGUAAAGCUCUGUCUUCGCUGACGAUAAUGACGGUAAGCGAGGAGGAAGCCACGGCUAACUACGUGCCAGCAGCCGCGGUAAUACGUAGGUGGCGAGCGUUGUCCGGAAUUACUGGGCGUAAAGGGUGCGUAGGCGGAUAUUUAAGUCAGAUGUGAAAUUCCGGGGCUUAACUUCGGAAUUGCAUUUGAAACUGGGUAUCUAGAGUGCAGGAGAGGGAAGCGGAAUUCCUAGUGUAGCGGUGAAAUGCGUAGAUAUUAGGAAGAACACCAGUGGCGAAGGCGGCUUUCUGGACUGUAACUGACGCUGA
rnacentral:rRNA from 1 species